UGCAGAAGUCUGAAUUCUGGAGUCAUUACAGUGUGGAACAUAGUGAAAUCAAAGUGCAAAGGCAAGGCAGUAAUAGUGGAGAGAGGACUGGCGGAGAACACAGACAUUGUGCUGGUUAGAGACAUGAAACUUUGUCCCUACUGACAAAGGGAUGGCUUCUUUUACAGAGGCUUCAAGACUAAUUUUUCAGGUCUCCCAUAGAAGCCCUAGCCCUGCUCCUCCCAUCAAUCCUGUUAUUCUAGUACUUCAGAGGCCCUGGGAAAGACGUAAUGAAAGUAAGACUGCAAAGAAAAGGAGGCUGGAGAGCUACAGCAACUUGCUAAUGAGAAGUACAAUGCUAUUGAUCAGUACCUGCUCAGUGGAGAUGAAAAGGAUUAAAGUUUGGGAUACAUUUCAUCACAGGCACAAGAUUAUUCCAGGUUAUGAAAGUCUUUAACUCACUAUAAACAGCAAACUGCAUAUAUUAGGAGGGGCAAAAGCAGUACUACUUGCAGGUUUGUGAAACUUACUAUUCCGCAUUAAACCUUCUACAAUUCUA